rnacentral:lncRNA from 1 species
CUCCUUAAUUAUGGAUUUCUACCUUGUUUGUUUACUCGUUUUUAGUAUUAUAAGUACCCCAUCUUCUUUGCAUAACACACCAAGACACAUUACAAUCUCUCUGAACUUUCAAAAACACUCAAUGCUCUCUAUUUCUCUAUUGUUUCUCUAAAAACUCUCUCACUCAAUCGAGUGAAAGCCAAGGUUAAGUAAUCUUGGCUGUUUAUUUCUACAUUACUAAGUUUCUACUGCAUUGGUUACUUGGAUUUUUGCCUGCUGUUUGCUUCUCUGCACUGUUGUUCUUACAUUGCUGCCCUCAUUCUCUGCUCACUCUUCUCAUUUUUUGCAUUGUUGCUCUUUGUGUUCUACUUGCCUGAAACUGGUAUGUUACUUAUCUAAUAUACAUUCUCCAAAACAAUAUGUUUUUGUUAGUCCUGCACUUCAUCUUGUUCCUUGUGUACUUUUAUUUAUGGUUCUGCUAUUCUGAUUGUCACUAGCAUGCCGUUACUAGUUUAGCUUAUCAUGCUCCCCCUUACCCCAUUCCUUGUCUCAUUAGUUGUUUGCUUUUCCUUGCGUGUUAAUACCAUGCAUCCAGGUCUGCUUGGCUGCUUGAUUAGCCUAAAAACCUCUUCCUGAGGUUUAUUGUAUUGGGGUUUGGUGCAGUAAGAAUUGAACCCCUGUUUGCAACCAUGCUUGAUUACUCUUCUUCAAUAUGUUUCCUGUGUAGUUCACUUUAUUGAUCCCUUCCCCUUUGUCCCUGUUUGUGUGAUUCUCUGUUUAAAACUUGUAAGUUUUUAAAUGAUUUCUAAGAAAUUCUUUCAACUUUUCAAUCAUUGUUUUCCUCCAGCUAUCUCUUAAAUCUUUCUACCGUUUUCUUAAACUUACUUUCAACCAUUUUAAAAUUCUCUCAAUCCUAUCACAAAUUUCAUCAUUCUUAGAACCUUAGGGUCCGCCCCCUUAGUGUAAGCAUUGCCUUGGGAGCCUUUGAGCACCCAUUGAACUUUAAUGCACAAGGCUGGCACUUCCACACGUUCACUUGUCAAAUAAUGACAUUUUGGGGUGCUUGGUAUUGGCCAGGGGUUCAAACGAACAUUUAGGGAACUUUGCCGCACCCAAACCUUGGUAAAGGCUGUGAAACUCAGAAGAAGUGAGGAAGAUAUUUUGGGCCUGGCUGUAGGCUCCCUAUAGAAUAACUUCUUAUUUUCUUUAUCACUGUUGUACUUUAAUUAUUUGGGCUGUAAUAAUUUGUAAAGAAUAAUUGGAUUAUAGUGAAUUUGG